rnacentral:rRNA from 1 species
AAGGGGAGCAAUCCCUGAGUAUAGUGGCGACCGGGUGAGUAACACGUGACUACCUGCCCUUGAGUGGGGGAUAACCUCGGGAAACCGAGGCUAAUACCGCAUAAUAUCGCAAGAUCAAAGGAGCAAUCCGCUUUUGGAGGGGGUCGCGGCUGAUUAGCUAGUUGGUAAGGUAAUGGCUUACCAAGGCGAAGAUCGGUAUCCGGCCUGAGAGGGCGCACGGACACACUGGAACUGAAACACGGUCCAGACUCCUACGGGAGGCAGCAGUGGGGAAUUUUGCGCAAUGGGGGAAACCCUGACGCAGCAACGCCGCGUGGAGGAUGAAGCCCCUUGGG